rnacentral:sRNA from 1 species
AUAGAUGAUGUAGGGCUGUUUUCCGGAC